UGAAAUGCCAGUCCCAACUGACAUGAGGACUGCCUAUAUUAAUAAUUAAGUCUUACAAUCUAUAUGACUAACAGAAUGAUUUUCUGCAGGUAUUUCAGAUAACCUGUUAUCCAAGUUUUUUCCAGAAUUGAAAGACAGCAAAUUGUGAAGGCGCUUUUCUCGCCAUUUUAAUUUCUAUGUAAUUCUACACACUUCACUCUGGGAGGCUACACUACAUCUUGAGAACCAACAGUAAACAAGACAUGUCCUUCCAAGGCCAAUUGGUAAAUAUAGAUAUUUCAGCCAAUAAGAGCUCAGCUAUUGUCCAAUAACUGUUGGACUGAAUGAUCUAAGCCAACGUUUCAGCCACUUCAAGAUGUAUGGACUUUAGCUGCCAGAAGUCCCCCAGUCAACAAGUCCACAUUUCUUAAAGAUGCUGAAGUGGAAAUGCACUGAUUUAAUGGACUGCAUGCAGAAAACUGUUCUGGCACCUGCACCAAAACAAGAGCUUCACAGAUGAAGAACUAUGGCUACAAUGCUGCCCUACUGACACACCAUUCAGCUAAAAAGUGCCAUGGAACAUCUACCUCGAUAUCUAGGCAACACGAUUGAGGACACACAAACCUUGAAACAGAAUAUGGAUUUCUGGCCACUGCUUUCUUAUUUAGCCUAUCAUCCUAGGACUCCUUAGGGAUCCAUCAGUUCAUAAUGGAUGAGAAAGGAAGUUUGCAACAUAAAUCCCUCAUAAGAGGGCUUUUAAGCCAAGUUUUUGCCGUACAUCUAUGAACUGCUCACAAAUAAAAAAUAUUACUCCAUAA